UAGAAAAUUAACAAGAGCAAACGGUGGAUGCCUUGGCUCUCAGAGGCGAUGAAGGACGCGACAAGCUGCGAAAAGCUGCGGGGAAGUGCAAAUAACUUUCGAUCCGCAGAUGUCCGAAUGGGGAAACCUAGCAGGUUGAAGACCUGUUGCCACUUCGGUGGUGCCAACCCGGUGAACUGAAACAUCUAAGUAACCGGAGGAAAAGAAAACAAUAGUGAUUCCCUAAGUAGUGGCGAGCGAACGGGGAACAGCCUAAACCAGCGUUGUUUCGGCAAUGUUGGGGUUGUAGGACUACAAUGUGGAAUAUGUAUUUUUAGUGGAACAGUGAUGGAAACACUACCAUAGAGGGUGAUAGUCCCGUAUACGAAAAAAAUGCAUUACCUAGUAGUAUCCUGAGUAGGGCGGGACACGUGAAAUCCUGUCUGAAUCUGCCGGGACCAUCCGGUAAGGCUAAAUACUCCUGAGAGACCGAUAGUGAACAAGUACCGUGAGGGAAAGGUGAAAAGCACCCUGAACAAGGGAGUGAAAUAGUACCUGAAACCGUUUGCUUACAAGCGGAGGGAGCCUUCGGGUGACCUCGUGCCUUUUGCAUAAUGAGCCUACGAGUUACUCCUCAGUAGCAAGGUUAAUUCCAUUGAUGGAAGUAGCCGAAGCGAAAGCAAGUCUUAACAGGGCGUGUAGUUACUGGGGGUAGACGCGAAACUUAGUGAUCUACCCAUGGUCAGGUUGAAGCUCUGGUAACACAGAGUGGAGGACCGAACCCGUAUACGUUGAAAAGUGUUGGGAUGAACUGUGGGUAGGGGUGAAAGGCUAAUCAAACUAAGAAAUAGCUCGUACUCCCCGAAAUGCAUUUAGGUGCAGCCUCGGAAUCGAGUGUCAUAGAGGUAGAGCUACUGAUAGGGCUAGGGGGCUUCACCGCCUACCAACCCCUGACAAACUCCGAAUGCUAUGACAUAUGUCCGGGAGUGAGGGCAUGGGUGCUAAGGUCCAUGUCCGAGAGGGAAACAACCCAGACCAUCAGUUAAGGUCCCGAAGUAUAUGCUAAGUUGUUCAAACGAGGUUUGACUGCAUUGACAGCUAGGAUGUUGGCUUGGAAGCAGCCAUUCAUCUAAAGAGUGCGUAACAGCUCACUAGUCGAGCGGUCGAGCGUGGAUAAUAAUCGGGCAUAAGCAUAUCACCGAAACUGUGGAUUUAUGGUAGGGGAGCAUUCUAGUGGCGUUGAAGGUGUGUCGUGAGGCAUGCUGGAGUAACUAGAAAAGAAAAUGUAGGCAUAAGUAACGAUAAUUCGGGUGAAAAACCCGUACACCGUAAGACUAAGGUUUCCUGAUCAAUGCUAAUCAGAUCAGGGUUAGUCGGGGCCUAAGGCGAACCCAAUGGGGUAGUCGAUGGAUAACAGGUUAAUAUUCCUGUACUUGUAUAUAUUGCGAUGUGGGGACGAAGAACCGUACUUACUACGUGCUGACGGAAAUGCACGUUGAGCCUAGUCUUCGGACGAAGCGAAGUAGGGAAAGUGCUUCCUAGAAAAGCCAAUAAGCUUCAGAUAUAUGCAACCCGUACCCUAAACCGACACAGGUAGUCGAGGAGAGUAUCCUAAGGUGCUUGAGUGAAUCAUGGCUAAGGAACUAGGCAAAUUAGCCCUGUAACUUUGGAAGAAAGGGCGCCUCCCUAGCUUGCUAGGAGGCCGCAGUGAAUAAGUCCAGGCGACUGUUUAUCAAAAACACAUGGCUCUGCUAAAUCGAAAGAUGAUGUAUAGGGCCUGACACCUGCCCGGUGCUGGAAGGUUAAGAGGUGGGGUUAUCCUUCGGGAGAAGCUCUAAAUUGAAGCCCCAGUAAACGGCGGCCGUAACUAUAACGGUCCUAAGGUAGCGAAAUUCCUUGUCGGGUAAGUUCCGACCUGCACGAAUGGUGUAACGAUCUGGACACUGUCUCGGCCAUGAGCUCAGUGAAAUUGUAGUAGCGGUGAAGAUGCCGCUUACCCGCAAUGGGACGGAAAGACCCCGUGAACCUUCACUACAGCUUAGCAUUGAAUUUGGAUUAUUGAUGUGUAGGAUAGGUGGGAGACUUUGAAGCAUGAACGCUAGUUUGUGUGGAGUCGUCCUUGAAAUACCACCCUUUAAUCGUUUGAAUUCUAAUCCUUUAUGGAGACAUUGCUUGGUGGGUAGUUUGACUGGGGUGGUCGCCUCCAAAAAAGUAUCGGAGGCUUCUAAAGGUACCCUCAGCACGCUUGGUAACCGUGCGCAGAGUGUAAUGGCACAAGGGUGCUUGACUGUGAGACCGACAAGUCGAACAGGUACGAAAGUAGAGCAUAGUGAUCCGGUGGUUCCUUAUGGAAGGGCCAUCGCUCAAAGGAUAAAAGGUACUCCGGGGAUAACAGGCUGAUCUCCCCCAAGAGCUCACAUCGACGGGGAGGUUUGGCACCUCGAUGUCGGCUCGUCACAUCCUGGGGCUGGAGAAGGUCCCAAGGGUUGGGCUGUUCGCCCAUUAAAGUGGCACGCGAGCUGGGUUCAGAACGUCGCGAGACAGUUCGGUCCCUAUCUAUUGCGGGCGUUAGAAGUUUGAGAGGACCUCCUUUUAGUACGAGAGGACCGAAGGGGACGAACCUCUGGUGUACCUGUUGUGGCGCCAGCUGCAUCGCAGGGUAGCUAUGUUCGGACGAGAUAAGCGCUGAAAGCAUCUAAGCACGAAACUCACCUCAAGAUGAGACUUCUUUUAAGGGUCGUUAAAGAUGAUGACGUUGAUAGGUCGUAGGUGUAAAGGUAGAAAUGCCACAGCCGAGCGAUACUAAUUGCCCGUAGAUUUUCUACA
rnacentral:rRNA from 1 species